GGCCCGCUGGCCAAAUGGUAAGGCGCCAGAUUUCGGUUCAUGUUCUCUGGAGAUUGUGCGUUCGAGCCGCACGUGGGUCG